rnacentral:lncRNA from 1 species
GGGACUUCACUCUUGGCUGUUUCUGCCUGAAAGUGGAAGACAGACCUCUUUCAUCUCCUCUCUGCCGAAGAGAUUAUUGGUCUUGCUCAGAAGAGACUUAUCAGCAAUGUUAUUAUUAUCUACCCUUAGGGGAAGAUAAUUUUAUUUUCUGAAUUGUCUUUAUUUCAAAGCCUUCAAUCAAGAUAACUUAGAAUUAGGGAGACCCUAAUUCCCCUAUCUUCUUAACCUCUUCUUAACCCCUCUCCCCAAAGAAUAAAAGAUCCUUUAGUUAAAGUACUAGUUGUGGGAUUUGGUUAUUAGUGGGAAAAUUUUCAACUUACUACCUGUAAGAAGAUCUUCAUCUAGACAGUUGGGAAGAAAGAAACAGGAAGUAGUGUAGGGGAGGGGCCCAAGAUUCAGUCUCUUUCUUUUGUAUACUUUCUUGUGCAACAUCAAUAAUCCCCCACUAUAAUUCACCAAGUUUUCAUCUCUAGUACACUGUGUUGGCUCUAUCAAGAAUCAAGCAGCUCUUAAUAAUAAGAGACAUCCUCACCAAGGUCCUGGAGAGAAAGAGAUGAAAACUUCUCCCUCCGAAAAGAUGGCUUCUCCCAGGAUUUCUAUUUAAGGAAGGCACAAGGCUACCUUCCUGUAUUCCAAGACAUGCAAUUCCACUGGGCCAAAUCAAUUUUUAAAAAGAACCUCAAAAUGACAGGAGUCAAAAACCAACAGUGAGACUGACUGAUGGGCCUCUCCCACUGAUCACAACUUGAAAGGAGAAAUGACAAAUAAGAUGAUCCCAAAAACUAUGGAAGGACUUAUAUGAAGUGAUGCAAAGUGAAAUAAGAACCAGGAG